rnacentral:rRNA from 1 species
UACAGAGGUGGCAAGCGUUGUUCGGAAUUACUGGGCGUAAAGGGCGCGUAGGCGGCCUUCUAAGUCAGACGUGAAAUCCCUCGGCUUAACCGGGGAACUGCGUCUGAUACUGGAUGGCUUGAGAUUGGGAGAGGGAUGCGGAAUUCCAGGUGUAGCGGUGAAAUGCGUAGAUAUCUGGAGGAACACCGGUGGCGAAGGCGGCAUCCUGGACCAACACUGACGCUGAGGGAGCGAAAGCCAGGGGAGCAAACGGG